rnacentral:rRNA from 1 species
UACGUAGGUGGCAAGCGUUGUCCGGAAUUAUUGGGCGUAAAGCGCGCGCAGGCGGUCCUUUAAGUCUGAUGUGAAAGCCCACGGCUCAACCGUGGAGGGUCAUUGGAAACUGGGGGACUUGAGUACAGAAGAGGAAAGCGGAAUUCCACGUGUAGCGGUGAAAUGCGUAGAGAUGUGGAGGAACACCAGUGGCGAAGGCGGCUUUCUGGUCCGUAACUGACGCUGAGGCGCGAAAGCGUGGGGAGCAAACAGG